GGGCCGUUAGCUCAGCCGGAUAGAGUGCCAAAUUCCUAAUUUGGAAGCCGCAGGUUCGAUUCCUGCACGGCCCACCA
rnacentral:tRNA from 3 species